rnacentral:ncRNA from 2 species
GUCCUACAUCGAGAGUUGGAGUGACGCUCCAACGCCAACCUGCCGAUCCGGGCAAGGUGGUACCCGAUCUGCCGAGGUGGAGAGGGGAUGUGGCCGAUCCGGCAAUCAAACGGACACGG